rnacentral:rRNA from 1 species
AACAGCCGCGGUAAUUCCAGCUCCAAUAGCGUAUAUUAAAGUUGUUGCAGUUAAAAAGCUCGUAGUUGAAUUUCGGGAUCAAUUCGUCGGUCGUGCUUUCGGGUACGUACUGGUGUUAUUGGUUUCUCCCUUCUGACGAACCAUGAUGUCAUUAAUUUGGUGUUAUGGGGAGUUAGGACUGUUACUUUGAAAAAAUUAGAGUGUUUAAAGCAGGCAUUAGCUUGAAUACAUUAGCAUGGAAUAAUGAAAUAGGACGUUCGAUCCUAUUUUGUUGGCUUCUAGGAUCAACGUAAUGAUUAAUAGGGAUAGUUGGGGGCAUUAGUAUUCAAUUGUCAGAGGUGAAAUUCUUGGAUUUAUUGAAGACUAACUACUGCGAAAGCAUUUGCCAAGGAUGUUUUCAUUAAUCAAGAACGAAAGUUAGGGGGAUCGAAGACGAUCAGAUACCGUCGUAGUCUUAACCAUAAACUAUGUCGACUAGGGAUCGGAUGAUGUUAAUUUUUCAAUGACUCAUUCGGCACCU